ACGAACGCUGGCGGCGUGCUUAACACAUGCAAGUCGAACGGAAAGGCCCCUUUGGGGGUACUCGAGUGGCGAACGGGUGAGUAACACGUGAGUAACCUGCCCUUGACUUCGGGAUAACUUCAGGAAACUGGGGCUAAUACCGGAUAGGAAUCCUUGCUGCAUGGUGGGGGUUGGAAAGCUUCGGCGGUUUUGGAUGGACUCGCGGCUUAUCAGCUUGUUGGUGGGGUAGUGGCUUACCAAGGCUUUGACGGGUAGCCGGCCUGAGAGGGCGACCGGCCACAUUGGGACUGAGAUACGGCCCAGACUCCUACGGGAGGCAGCAGUGGGGAAUAUUGCACAAUGGGCGGAAGCCUGAUGCAGCAACGCCGCGUGCGGGAUGACGGCCUUCGGGUUGUAAACCGCUUUCAGCAGGGGCGAAGCUUGUGGUGACGGUACCUGCAGAAGAAGCACCGGCUAACUACGUGC
rnacentral:rRNA from 1 species